rnacentral:rRNA from 1 species
GAGAGUUUGAUCCUGGCUCAGGACGAACGCUGGCGGCGUGCCUAACACAUGCAAGUCGAGCGGAGGGGAUAGGAGCUUGCUCCUUGAACCUUAGCGGCGGACGGGUGAGUAACACGUGGGUAACCUGCCCUUGAGAGGGGGAUAACAGGUCGAAAGGCCUGCUAAUACCGCAUAACGCUAAGAUGCCGCAUGGCGUCUUAGCCAAAGGUUAAUUCCGCUCAAGGAUGGGCCCGCGGCCCAUUAGCUAGUUGGUGAGGUAAUGGCUCACCAA